CUGAGCUGCGGGGAAACAACAAAGCAGAGGCUUCCCAUUAAGAGAUGAUGUUGCUGGCAGUACGGCAGGGAGGCUGGCACUGCAGGGCACGGCAGCCCGGAGUUGAGAAGUCCGGCAUGUGGGGAACCUGUAGUCAAUGAGGCUGUCAGGCGACGGACAUCUUUUCAGCCUGCAGCCAGGAGAGUAGUUCCAAGUUCACCG
rnacentral:lncRNA from 1 species